GAUGAACGCUGGCGGCGUGCCUAAUACAUGCAAGUAGAACGCUGAAGGAAGGAGCUUGCUCUUUCCGGAUGAGUUGCGAACGGGUGAGUAACGCGUAGGUAACCUGCCUGGUAGCGGGGGAUAACUAUUGGAAACGAUAGCUAAUACCGCAUAACAGUAGAUGUUGCAUGAUAUCUACUUAAAAGGUGCAAUUGCACCACUACCGGAUGGACCUGCGUUGUAUUAGCUAGUUGGUGAGGUAACGGCUCACCAAGGCGACGAUACAUAGCCGACCUGAGAGGGUGAUCGGCCACACUGGGACUGAGACACGGCCCAGACUCCUACGGGAGGCAGCAGUAGGGAAUCUUCGGCAAUGGACGGAAGUCUGACCGAGCAACGCCGCGUGAGUGAAGAAGGUUUUCGGAUCGUAAAGCUCUGUUGUAAGAGAAGAACGAGUGUGAGAGUGGAAAGUUCACACUGUGACGGUAUCUUACCAGAAAGGGACGGCUAACUACGUG
rnacentral:rRNA from 1 species